UGAACGCUAGCUACAGGCUUAACACAUGCAAGUCGAGGGGCAGCAUGACGAUAGCUUGCUAUUGUCGAUGGCGACCGGCGCACGGGUGAGUAACGCGUAUCCAACCUUCCCGUUGCUAGGGGAUAACCUUGCGAAAGUAAGACUAAUACCCUAUGAUGUUCUUCGCAGACAUCUAAAGAGAACGAAAGAUUUAUCGGCAACGGAUGGGGAUGCGUCUGAUUAGCUUGUUGGCGGGGCAACGGCCCACCAAGGCGACGAUCAGUAGGGGUUCUGAGAGGAAAGCCCCCCACAUUGGAACUGAGACACGGUCCAAACUCCUACGGGAGGCAGCAGUGAGGAAUAUUGGUCAAUGGGCGAGAGCCUGAACCAGCCAAGUAGCGUGCAGGAUGACGGCCCUAUGGGUUGUAAACUGCUUUUAUGCGGGGAUAAAGCGGGCGACGUGUCGCCCUUUGCAGGUACCGCAUGAAUAAGGACCGGCUAAUUCCGUG
rnacentral:rRNA from 1 species